rnacentral:lncRNA from 1 species
UAGGUACAGCUACUUUUUUGCUGGGAGUCCCUCUUCUCUGGAGCCUAAAUGUACAAGCUAUUGAGUGAGGCAUCGUUAAACUCAUCAUUUGACUGAUUUAAGGCUAGCUUUUGUCUGCUGGAUUGUUAACCAUCUACAGCCAAAGGACAAGGUGAGAUUCAGAAAUGUAAGAAUAGUGAUCUCUUUAAUAUGGUGCCCUGGCAUGGUGAUUAAAGGAGUUUAGAGUACAGCAGAUGUCCAAGAAGCCCUACUCUGACACCUCCUUGGCUGCUGAAGUCUAAAACAGCUGAAGAAAGAAAUAGGCACCUCUAGUCUCUUCCCUGAGAUUUCAUGAGCUCAACUAAUGUUGCAAAAAUAAAAAUCAAAAUGUG